UCUGAAAGGGAAAAUAACCCAGAUAGAGAGAGACAGAUCGAGAGAAGGAGAAGAACUGAAGUAAACUGAGAAGAUCGAGAGAGACAGGUCGAGAUAGUUAGGUCGAGAUCUGAAAUCCCAUGAAUUUUUAAAGCGUGAAGAACAGAACUGAGAAGAUCCAAGGAUACUGAAACAGAAUGGGUAAUGAGGAUAGGAAUUUCUGGAUACACGGAGUCUGUGACCAAGGACAAUCAAAAAAUUUGUGAUCACCAACACAAGCAUCACAACCUCCUUUGUACUGAGGUGCCAUGGAUUUAAUUGCAUCAUCAAACCAUUCGAAGUACGAACACAUAGGAUUAGAGCAAGAGAAGAAUUUCUUCCCAGAAUUAGCAUCAUCUUGCCUUAAUAAGUUUUCAAAUACCAUUACAAGGAACUAAUUUACCUUGUGUAGAUCCAAGGACAAUCAAUUGAUUGAUGAUUUUUUUCGUUGCACAUCUCACAUUCCUGCAAAUUAAGUAAAAAUUAAAGUGAUUAUUGAUACUACCGAUCCCUAA